rnacentral:rRNA from 1 species
UACGUAGGGUGCAAGCGUUGUCCGGAAUUAUUGGGCGUAAAGAGCUCGUAGGCGGUUUGUCGCGUCGAAUGUGAAAACCCGGGGCUCAACCCCGGGCCUGCAUUCGAUACGGGCAGACUAGAGUUCGGUAGGGGAGUCUGGAAUUCCUGGUGUAGCGGUGAAAUUCGUAGAUAUCGGGAGGAACACCAGUGGCGAAGGCGGCGAUCUGGGCUGAUACUGACGCUGAGGUGCGAAAGCGUGGGGAGCAAACAGG